rnacentral:rRNA from 1 species
UCAUGGCCCUUACGACCAGGGCUACACACGUGCUACAAUGGCGCAUACAAAGAGAAGCGACCUCGCGAGAGCAAGCGGACCUCAUAAAGUGCGUCGUAGUCCGGAUUGGAGUCUGCAACUCGACUCCAUGAAGUCGGAAUCGCUAGUAAUCGUGGAUCAGAAUGCCACGGUGAAUACGUUCCCGGGCCUUGUACACACCGCCCGUCACACCAUGGGAGUGGGUUGCAAAAGAAGUAGGUAGCUUAACCUUCGGGAGGGCGCUUACCACUUUGUGAUUCAUGACUGGGGUGAAGUCGUAACAAGGUAACCGUAGGGGAACCUGCGGUUGGAUCAC